rnacentral:misc_RNA from 1 species
GAAGCCUCUGUAACUUUACUCUUCUCUGAACACACAAAGCGAUAACUCUCCUUCUCAUCUUCCAAAUCUACACCUAUCUUUCUGCUGCUGCAACUAAUACUGCAAAUCUCAGACUUACAACUCAUAAUUUUAGUAAUUUUUUAGUUUAACAAAAUGGGAGGAUCUGGAGGAGGUAUAGUAAGCUUACUCAAGGUCAUAAUCAGCAACUUUGAUGUUCUUGCAGGGCCAGUGGUUAGUUUGGUAUAUCCUCUGUAUGCUUCAAUUAGGGCUAUUGAGACCAAAUCCCCUGUGGAUGAUCAGCAAUGGCUUACAUACUGGAUUUUGUAUUCUAUGAUCACACUUUUUGAGCUGACGUUUGCCAAGCUUAUUGAAUGGCUUCCUUUCUGGUCAUAUGCAAAACUGAUAGCGACCUGCUGGUUGGUCAUACCUUACUUCAAUGGUGCUGCGUAUGUGUAUGAGCAUUAUAUUAGGACUUACAUUGUCCAACGAAAAGCAGUUAACAUCUGGUAUGUGCCACGAAAGAAGGAUGUCUUUAGUAAGCCAGAUGACAUCCUGACUGCUGCAGAGAAAUACAUAAAAGAACAUGGAACCCAAGCGUUUGAGGAGAUGAUUCACAAGGCUGAUGGAGAACGAAAGACCCAUACCAGCAAUUAUGUGUUUUAUGAUGACGACUACAGAUACUGAGCCUUGAUCACUGUUUAGGAAGGCAGAGGAGAUCUAUCUGCUGUUGUAAAGAGGUGCCCUUAAACUGAUGUUUGGUCUUUCUCCGUGUGGACUACUAUCUUUGGUUUUAUGGAGUUUUUCGCAAUCCUCUAACUUAUGUAUGUUAUAAACUAAUACUACUCAUCCUUGUUACCGAGUCUUUUCUCCUAGAUACUUUGUAAUUGUUAAUUUCAAGCAGUACGUUAGUGAUAAUGAGAAUCAUCGCUCUAUUU